rnacentral:rRNA from 1 species
CCAAUAGCGUAUAUUAAAGUUGUUGCAGUUAAAAAGCUCGUAGUUGAAUUUCGGGAUUAGCAAGUUGGUCGUGCCUUCGGUAUGCACUGGCUUUGCUGAUUCCUCCUUCUUGAAGAACUGUAAUGCUAUUAAUUUAGUGUUGCAGGGAAACAGGACUGUUACUUUGAAAAAAUUAGAGUGUUUAAAGCAGGCUAACGCUUGAAUACAUUAGCAUGGAAUAAUGAAAUAGGACGUUUGAUCCUAUUUUGUUGGUUUCUAGGAUUGACGUAAUGAUUAAUAGGGAUAGUUGGGGGCAUUAGUAUUCAAUUGUCAGAGGUGAAAUUCUUGGAUUUAUUGAAGACUAACUACUGCGAAAGCAUUUGCCAAGGAUGUUUUCAUUAAUCAAGAACGAAAGUUAGGGGAUCGAAGACGAUCAGAUACCGUCGUAGUCUUAACCAUAAACUAUGCCGACUAGGGAUCGGAUGAUGUUAAUUUUAUAAUGACUCAUUCGGCGCCUUACG